CGGGAGCCGCUGCCUCUGCCCGGGUCGCCAUGGCAACAGAGUUGGAGGGCGCUCGGCUUUGAUGGCGGUCGCCAAGCAACGGCGGUCGCCAGGCGACGGCGGCGCUCAGGAAGCCCGCGGGCCUCCCGUCCGGAGCCCCUCUCUCUCGACUCGGGGAGGAGGAGGAACCACAGACGAGCGGGAAGGCGGCAGCAUCCAUGCUCUGCGAUCCUCCCUUUAUAAGGAUGGUGGGAGAUGGUGCAGGGCAGCUCGUGAAGGCCGCUGUGUGUCUCCCGUGCAGCAUUUGCCGGAUCUGACCGAGCGAGGUGUGCUGCGCAUUGGCCGGGCGACGUCGCCUUGUGGCUGAUGGCUCCACGAGGACACCCAUUCAACGGAUCGAGUUUGAUCAAUUCAGCACUGAAUUAUGGUUGACGAUGAAAAAUAAACCCAGUGUUCAAUUA